rnacentral:lncRNA from 1 species
CUUUUUAGUGGCAUAAGGAAGUUCCAGGCUAGGGGUCAAAUCAGAGCUGCAGCUGCCGGCCACAGCCACAGUCACAGCAACGCGGAAUCUGAGCAGUACCUGAGACCUAAAUCACAGCUCACAACAAGGCUGGAUCCCUGACCAACGGAGCGAAGCCAGGGAUCAAACCCAGGUCCUCAUGGAUACUAGUUGGGUUCGUUACUGCUGAGCCACAAUGGGAACUCUGAAAAACAACUUUUGAGAAAACAAUUUUUAUUUUUCUGAGUUGCUGCCUAGAUAUUUUUCGGUAAUAAUAACUCUGCUCACACCCAGAGUCUAGGCAUUUAGAUAAGGACUUGGAUGAGUCUAGGAUGCCUACUGUAGGUAAGUCCCUGCUUACUUUUUCCUGGGCACUCUUUAAAAUAACCAUUAACGGUUAAGCCCUCAAAAAGUUAGUGUCUACCCCAGCCACCUUAUAAGCAAUAGAUGCUUGUUACCUGCUCUCUGUCUCCUGUUCACCUGGGAGGGAGGACUGCCCUUCCCAACACCCAUGCAGCUCCUGGCCUCUAGCACAUGUAAGUAGUAAGUCUUGUGACUACAUCCUUACUGUGGGUGUACGGUAUUGAAGAUGCAUCUUCAGUUGAAACAAUCCUGUCUUUCACUUCCCCAAAAUGGGAGCUCAGAAGCUGAGGAAGCUACCUGCUGCCCCUGUGUGGGUGUUUCAUCUUGAUCUCUGCAUUUGGCAGGUCAUAAUCUGCAUAUUCCUAAUUCAAUGCACUAGCUCUGGCUUCUGAGCACAACUGGCAACAAGAAGGAUGAGAUUGUGAGCAUAGUUUGUACCCUCUUGCAAUGCCUUAGAGCUGUGAAUGGCUCACUCACUUCUUUUCCCAGACUGCUCAGUCUCUCUGGGAAGGAAGCAGCACUUGCUGGCGCUAAUGUGUAUUGCUGCUGCUACAUGUUGCUGGGAAUCCCUACCCUAAAUCGUUAUUGCCAUAAAAGGUCAGACUCCCCUGUAGAGACCAGCUAGCAGGCCUCAGUGUGAGAUGGUUGUGUUUCCCAUUAGUCUCUAAAUGAGACCCUGAUGGGUGUCCAGUCUGGAGGCGAUGGCUAUAAUCACAUGCAAAAGUCCCUGCAUUGAUCUCAGAAGAGCUAAUAUCUGGUAAGGGCUCAGCUUCUAUCCCUCAAGCAGAAGCCAGGGUGAGGGCUAUCAGGUCCAGGGAGCCAAGGAGAGUUCCUCUACAUUAGGGUCAGGAGGAAAGGCUGGCUGCUGGCCCCUACAUGUUCCCAGCCCCAACCUUGAUGGGGCAACUCUACCAGGGACAUAACACCCUAGGUGGGCAAACGUUGCUGAGGUAAGCACCUCCUACAUUGCUGCAUUUCUUGAUGCAAUUGCAAAAUUCCCUCCCCCGGCCCCCUGGGAUAUAGGUUAUCCCACUCCUGGCUCAGAAAGCAAAAUCUAGACUCCCUAAAGGUGGGGCUGGAAACACACAGUACCAGUCCCUCCCAAGUUCCCAGAAGAGGUCAAAAAAAACACUAGACACUUCUAAGACUGCUGCUCAGAUGGCUUGGAUUUAUUAUAAUCGGUGGCAUAUCAACAAGCAAAGUUGCAGGUGCUACAUUCUUAGGCAUUGGGAACUAUCCCCAACACAGCACCUAGCAAAUUAAUAAUCUGUUUUAAGGAAGACCCAAGAUAUCGAGGGCCCACUUUAUUAGAGACCCCCUAGAGGAGCCCUCAGACUUUUCACUGCAGUGAGGAUGCUCCCAAAUACACUGAGCCACCAAGGGAGGAGACAGAGACAAAACAAAAAAAGAGGAUGAAUUUCUGAAGAUGAGCACCCCCACCAGGCCUCUGGAGCUCAUACAGAUAAGGCCUUCCCUGACUUGGAUUUUCUAGCUUGGCACAGGGUCCACCAUCUGUCACAGUUACUACAACUAACUAUUCAACUUCCAGUGAACAACCCUAGGUGAAGCUCACCUCCUCUCAGGGAAAAUGAGUUGGUUCAGUGCGUGUAUCAUUUUGCUGAGCGUCAUGCUCCCAUAGACCCCUUGACCAUCUCCAACCCAGAAUAGGUACCCUUGGGACCAGAAUCUAAUAAAUACUACUUAAAGGGCACCCUCCCAAUUAUAAGAUGCUGUUACAAUUCACAGAAGUGUCAGAUGAUGUACAAUAAGCCUUGGACUGCCUCAAUGCUCUAGUUAAACAAGAAAAAGAGCAUUUUCUGAAGCCCAGAUCUUGUUCACUGGUAAAGGUGAAAAUGGCCCUGCUGCUCCCUCAGGCAGGAAACCAAAGGAGGGGCCCUAAAGGAUAUGAGGACUUCCAGGCCACUUACUGGUCCUCACAGAGGGAUGGUGCCUCAACCUAGCUCCUUCCCAAAUGACUUAAUCUCACGAUAGCCCAAGUUGACUUAAAAGCCUUCACUCAGGAGUUCCCGCUACGGUCGCAGGUUUCAUCCUGACCCGGCAUUCAGCACAGUGGGUUAAAGGAUCCGGCAUUGCCACAGCUGCCUUGUAGGUUACAACUGCAGCUCGGCUCUGAUCCCUGGCCUGAGAACUCCAUUUUCUAUAGGGCAGCAAAAAAAAGAGGGGGAAAAAAAAAAUGAGGGCAGAUGCUGUCACUUCUCAGAAUGCACCAGAAUGCCCAGAACUGGCAGCAGGAUCUGGGAUUCAGGACUGUGAUUUUAGAGAGUGGCAGCCACCAAGGUCUCUGCCCUGGGACCUGGCAGUUCCCUGGAGCUUUUCCUUCCUCCAGAAGACACUGCCCCCAUACACUUCUCUAAUUAUCCUUCUGCUCCCACAAAAUAGACACUGGAGCCCAAAUUAUAGUGCUUCCUGGGAACCCCUCCAAAUAUAAGCAAGGGGCACCCUCUGAAUUAUAAGGUAUUGCAGGUAGAAUAGUAGAAGGCAUCCACUGAUGCCUCUUGGAACAAUUUUGAUUAAAAUCCUUUUAGUGGUGGUGGCCCCUUUGGCCCUAUCCUUUCCUGUUAUAGGUGUGGAUGCCUUAAUGUGCCACCACCAUGCCAUGUGAAGCAAACCCCAAUCCCUGGCUUUCCUGGUAGGAGCUGCACAUUGGGAGCUCAUAAGACUACCACUCCCGAUUAAGACAGCCCCAGUGUCACUUUUGCCAGGGGACUGAAGGAUUAUGGCCCAUAAUUCAAGAUUUAUUAAAGGAAGAAGUCAUUAAACAGACCGUUUCUCCUUUCAGUUCCCCCUUUGGCCAGUAUUAAAGCCAGCUACUAAUGAGUGGUGCCUUAUAGCUUGCUGCUGAAAUUUAAAUGUUCAGGUGCCGCCUUUUGAAGCUACCAUUCCCAACUUGCCGGGUUAAUUGAGAACAUCCAAAGGGCUCCAUGGCCUACUUUGCCAUAAUUGAUCUAACUAAUCCGUCCUAUUCAGUAGUGAUCACCUAGGAUUCCCAGCUACAAUUCGCCUUUAUGUUCAAAGGCAUUCACAAUAUACCUUUACCUGGUCACCUAUGAGCUAUCUUAACAGCCCAGUUAUUGUCCACAAUCUUUGCCAGCAAGACCCAGUGUCCCCCUUGCACUGUCUGGCACUAUACCAAUGGCACUUUAAUCUAGGGUCCCCUCAAGGGAUACAAUGUAUGAAGCCUUAAUACAACUGGUGAUGCAUCUGCAACAUACAGGUUGGGUUAUUGCCUCACCUAAAAUUGAAGGGCCAGCUACCACUGUUAAAUGUCUGGACAUGAAUUGGUCCUUUAAAGGCAGUUAAAUAUCAAUUGUUAACUAUUCAGCCUCCCACCAUGGCAAACCCAGCAAUUCUUAGGUCUCUUCUCAUUUUGGAGGCAACACAUACCACACUUACCCACCAUUCUUAGACCAUUCUUAGACAGUCAUUUAUGCAGUCACAUGCAAAGCCUCCACAUUUACUGGGGGCAGGUAGCUCAGUAGCAAGUCUUACAAGUAGCACAGAGGUCAAUUUAUUAUGCCCUCUCUUUGGCUUCCCCCUGGCUGCUCCUUCUGGGUUGAGACACUGACCAGCAUGGACUUGCUGUCUUUGAUAAGUGUGGUGCCUCUGGCAGGAUGGUCCACUGCAGCUCUUCAAAAGGCUCCACCACUUAUGGCGAGGACACUGUCAUCCCACAAGUACAAAUGCCUGGGCAGAGUGCCUCUGACCAUGACAAGCCUCUUGUCCAUACUUAUAUUGGCUCACACAUGGUUGCUGCCAAGGCAGCAGCUUGGUUGGGCCAAUGGAAGCAGGACAAUUUUCACAUUCAAGACCAUCCCAUUUGGGGUCCCCCAGUUUGGAGGUACAUCACCCAGGCACCAGUAACAACUGAGUUACCCAUGUUUCAUCACAUACAGAUGCUACCACAAUAAAGACUGUCUUUAACCACAAAGUGGAUGCCCUUGGCCAAAUCCAGGUCACCAGCUUUUCGGGGCUGUUGACCACUGCCCCUUUACCAACAGCAAUGUGGGCUCUACCCACUACCACAAAACCACAGCUUCCCCCAUCAAUCAGUCCUCAACUCCACCAAUCAGGCCUUUCUUAGUCAGCACUUCCUAUCCCUUUUUCCUUGGUGUAGCCUUUAGGAUUAUGGGGAGCUGCUGCCACCUGGGCCUGGGCCAGGGCCAGGGGUGUUUCACUUAUGCCAGCCCUUAGAAAACACACUGUUUUGAAUUGCAAAUUAUGCUCCUAAACCAAACUGGAGACUGCACCACCAUCCUCUGGUUCCACAAGGGAACCAUCCGUUUAGCCCUUUGACUUCACAGGGCUGCUCCUCCAUCCACAGGCACUACCCACUUCACCACUACACAUGUGGGUACUUUUACUGGCUCACUGAUUGAUAUACCUACCAGGAAUACUUCUGGGGACAGGGAUCUUCUUUUCUAUGUGUAUCCUUCUUCCAUUUGGCCCUCCUGACAUCAUUUACUCAGAUAAAGUAUCUCAUUUUACCACAUUAACACUCCACGGGGCUCUCCAACAGAGCAUCCAAUGGAACUUUCUUCUCCCAUACCAGCCAUGGACCUCUGGCAUUACUUGAUCCUUAAGUUACAGGGUGAAAAAUGUACUCCUAAAUGGACUUCUUUGUUGCCAGAGGCACUUAUAGCUUUAAACUCUAAGCCAUAUGGCCACACUCUCAUAAACUAAUUUGGCCAUACUGACUAUGAUUAUUAUCACAGGGGAAUCUGGUGCCUUAAUCUUACAGGACAAUAUAACUUACAUUUUUUUCCCUUACAGAUUUAAAACAUCCAUCAUCUCACCUCCCAAUAUUCAUUGGUGACCCGAUCAGGGAUGGGUGGUUAUCUAUGACCCCUGGCCCAUUAGAAGAACACAGAUCCACCAUGCUGCUUCUAGAUCACAUUUAGCCGCUUAAUUCCAAUGAAUUAUGGAAUCAUACCUCCCCACAGAAGUGAAAAUAAUUGCGCCUGAACCCCCUGAGAAAUAGCAUGGAUCUCUAAAAGGGGGUAAGACCCAGUAAUACAUAUACAUACAUCAUGUUCUUUCCCAACAGACUGGAUAUAGUUCCCUGUGCUGUACAACAGGACCUCACUGCUUAUCCAUUCUAAAUGUAAUAGUUUGCAUCUACUAAUCUCAAAAUCCCCAGCUUACCUCAUUUUUACCAAGCAGUUGGUGGCCACUCUGGGUCCAGUGCCCUGGGGCCAUCACACAUACAUGCUCUCUAUAUGUGCACUUCUUCCCUCAACCUCCAAUGCAUUUGCCUCCUUGUUGGCCCCUGUCUGUUGACAUCAAUGUACUUGCAUCUACCUCCCAGGGACUACCCUUACAAAUCACUGCCAGGAACACCACUGGGUUGUUAGACCAAAGCUUAGCCUUAAUAUAACAACAGAUAGUUGUUAGCACAAAUAGUUUUGGAUAAUCACUUAGUUCUAGAUUACUUAUUCGGCCAAGGAGAAGGUGUAUGUGCUAUAAAGGGCACUAC